GCUGGGCAUGGCGGUGCAUGCCUGUAAUCCCAGCUACUCGGGAGGCUGAGGCAGGAGAAUCGCUUGGACCCAGGGCGCAGAGGUUGCAGUGAGCUGAGAUUGCACCAUUGCACUCCAGCCUGGGAAACAGAGCGAGACCCUGUCUCCA
rnacentral:SRP_RNA from 1 species